CUGGCGGUAUGCUUAACACAUGCAAGUCGAACGGCAGCAUGACAGAGCUUGCUCUGUUGAUGGCGAGUGGCGGACGGGUGAGUAACACUUAGGAAUCUAUCCAGUAGCUGGGGAUAACGUGGGGAAACUCACGCUAAUACCGAAUACGCACUACGGUGGAAAGAGGGGGAUCUUCGGACCUCUCACUAUUGGGUGAGCCUAAGCCGGAUUAGCUAGUUGGUGGGGUAAUGGCCUACCAAGGCGACGAACCGUAGCUGGUCUGAGAGGACGAUCAGCCACACUGGGACUGAGACACGGCCCAGACUCCUACGGGAGGCAGCAGUGGGGAAUAUUGGACAAUGGGGGCAACCCUGAUCCAGCAAUACCGCGUGUGUGAAGAAGGCCUGCGGGUUGUAAAGCACUUUCAGUAGGGAAGAAAGGUUUGGUGUUAAUAGCGCCAGGAUUUGACGUUACCUACAGAAGAAGCACCGGCUA
rnacentral:rRNA from 1 species